GGGGAUGUAGCUCAGUUGGGAGAGCGUCGGCUUUGCAAGCCGAAGGUCAGCGGUUCGAGGCCGCUCAUCUCCACAA
rnacentral:tRNA from 1 species